GAUGAACGCUGGCGGCGUGCCUAAUACAUGCAAGUCGAACGAACAGACGAGGAGCUUGCUCCUCUGACGUUAGCGGCGGACGGGUGAGUAACACGUGGAUAACCUACCUAUAAGACUGGGAUAACUUCGGGAAACCGGAGCUAAUACCGGAUAAUAUAUUGCACCGCAUGGUUCAAUAGUGAAAGACGGUUUUGCUGUCACUUAUAGAUGGAUCCGGGCGGCAUUAGCUAGUUGUGAAGGUAACGGCUUACCAAGGCAACUAUGCGUUGCCGAACUGAGAGGGUGAUCGGCGACACGGGAACUGAGACAGGGACAAGACGCCUACGGGAGGCAGCAGAAGGGAAUGGGCCGCAGUGGUCGAAAGCAUGGCGGAGCAACGGCGAGUGAGUGAUGAAGGUGCUGGGUGCGGAAAAAUCGGUUAUGGGGGGAGAACAGAUGUGGAAGUAACCGAGGAGUGCGUGACGGUACUGAAUAAGAAAGCCACGGCUAACUACGUG
rnacentral:rRNA from 1 species